ensembl:lncRNA
CUUGUCUCUCUUGGUUUUGUUGUUUGGGUUUAGCUUUACAGAGAACGCUGGCUGCUGGUCCUGCGAACCUGUGGGAGGGGCCUGGUCAGGGACCUGAGUGUAAGUCAUGCUCACUCAGGUAUGUAUCAGCUCGAGAGGAGUGUACUCAGAAGCAAAGUGCCUGUCAUGUUCUUGACGUGCUUUUCUUCUGGAAGACCAAACCGAAGGACUGAAGAGCUCAUGAGCAACCUAGACUUCUUCUAAGAUCUAUUCUGUGUUGACGCUUUUCAAAAUAGCUAUGUAUUCUUUUUUGUGUUAUUUGUUCCUCUCAGGUUGGUUUUAAAAUGUAUCCUCUACUGUUAAGGUUUCAGUUGUUAGCACUGAAAUAUUUCACUGUGUGUUGAGGUAUUGUGGCCCCACCUUAAUUACAGGCCACACCUUUUGCUUACUCCAAACCCUGUGAGAAACUGUUUCUUUUUCUGGGCUGGGACAAUGCAUAGGAUCUGUAUUCUUUCAUAUCCUUCAUACCUUUUGCGAGUGCUAGGCUGAUACGGUGUCAGGUGCUGUUAGUGCGUAAGUAUUCGCUGGAAAACUUGUGACUGCAGCCCGAGGUAAGGCUGUCAGUCAUGGAAGCAUCCUGAUGUGGGCCUGCAAGGAGGGUCCUGUGGCCCUGGAUGAAGGCAAGCACGCAGAGCAGCCUCCUGCAAAGUGUCAGCCACCUCACAGCAACCUGAGGAGCGAAGAGGACACAGCCUGCUCCCCUGGAAGAGGCACACAAGGCGGAGCUGCGCUCCCUCUGCAUAGAGACGGGCGCCGGGCGCCGCCGCCGCCGCCUCCCUGCAGUCCUCAC